AGAUAAUUAGUUUAAAAAACCUUUGAUUUCGACUCAAAAAUUUAUGGUUAAAAUCCAUAAUAAUCUA
rnacentral:tRNA from 1 species